AAAAAAGGUAAGCUACUAAGAGCGAAUGGUGGAUGCCUUGACUGGUAAAGGCGAUGAAGGACGUACUAGACUGCGAUAAGCUACGGGGAGCUGUCAAGAAGCUUUGAUCCGUAGAUUUCCGAAUGGGGCAACCCAAUGUAUAGAGAUAUACAUUACCUAUAUAGGAGCGAACGAGGGGAAUUGAAACAUCUUAGUACCCUCAGGAAAAGAAAUCAAUAGAGAUUGCGUCAGUAGCGGCGAGCGAAAGCGCAAGAGGGCAAACCCAGUGCUUGCACUGGGGGUUGUAGGACUGCAAUGUGCAAGAGGUGAGUUUAGCAGAACAUUCUGGAAAGUAUAGCCAUAGAGGGUGAUAGUCCCGUAUGCGAAAAACAAACCUUAGCUAGCAGUAUCCUGAGUAGGGCGGGACACGAGAAAUCCUGUCUGAAGCUGGGUCGACCACGAUCCAACCCUAAAUACUAAUACCAGAUCGAUAGUGCACAAGUACCGUGAGGGAAAGGUGAAAAGAACUGAGGUGAUCAGAGUGAAAUAGAACCUGAAACCAUUUGCUUACAAUCAUUCAGAGCCCUAUGUAGCAAUACAGGGUGAUGGACUGCCUUUUGCAUAAUGAGCCUGCGAGUUGUGGUGUCUGGCAAGGUUAAGCAAACGCGAAGCCGUAGCGAAAGCGAGUCUGAAUAGGGCGCUUAGUCAGAUGCUGCAGACCCGAAACGAAGUGAUCUAUCCAUGAGCAAGUUGAAGCUAGUGUAAGAACUAGUGGAGGACUGAACCCAUAGGCGUUGAAAAGCCCCGGGAUGACUUGUGGAUAGGGGUGAAAGGCCAAUCAAACUUCGUGAUAGCUGGUUCUCUCCGAAAUAUAUUUAGGUAUAGCGUUGUGUCGUAAUAUAAGGGGGUAGAGCACUGAAUGGGCUAGGGCAUACACCAAUGUACCAAACCCUAUCAAACUCCGAAUACCUUAUAUGUAAUCACAGCAGUCAGGCGGCGAGUGAUAAAAUCCGUCGUCAAGAGGGAAACAACCCAGACUACCAGCUAAGGUCCCUAAAUCUUACUUAAGUGGAAAACGAUGUGAAGUUACUUAAACAACCAGGAGGUUGGCUUAGAAGCAGCCAUCCUUUAAAGAAAGCGUAAUAGCUCACUGGUCUAGUGAUUUUGCGCGGAAAAUAUAACGGGGCUAAAGUAAGUACCGAAGCUGUAGACUUGCGCACAACUUAGAUUAUUUAAGUUUAGAAUAUGAGAAACUAAGUUAUAUGUUUAGUUAUAUUUUUACUGAUUUUUAUAGAGUAAAGAUAGAAAUAAAACUUAGUAAAAUCAGUAAAAAUAUUCUUAGACUAAAGUUAAGUAGUUUAAGUUGUGUGCAAGUGGUAGGAGAGCGUUCUAUUUGCGUCGAAGGUAUACCGGUAAGGAGUGCUGGAGCGAAUAGAAGUGAGCAUGCAGGCAUGAGUAGCGAUAAUUAAUGUGAGAAUCAUUAACGCCGUAAACCCAAGGUUUCCUACGCGAUGCUCGUCAUCGUAGGGUUAGUCGGGUCCUAAGUCGAGUCCGAAAGGGGUAGACGAUGGCAAAUUGGUUAAUAUUCCAAUACCAACAUUAGUGUGCGAUGGAAGGACGCUUAGGGCUAAGGGGGCUAGCGGAUGGAAGUGCUAGUCUAAGGUCGUAGGAGGUUAUACAGGCAAAUCCGUAUAACAAUACUCCGAGAACUGAAAGGCUUUUUGAAGUCUUCGGAUGGAUAGAAGAACCCCUGAUGCCAUCGAGCCAAGAAAAGUUUCUAAGUUUAGCUAAUGUUGCCCGUACCGUAAACCGACACAGGUGGGUGGGAUGAGUAUUCUAAGGCGCGUGGAAGAACUCUCUUUAAGGAACUCUGCAAAAUAGCACCGUAUCUUCGGUAU
rnacentral:rRNA from 1 species